UACGACGGGUGCAAGCGUUACUCGGAAUUACUGGGCGUAAAGCGUGCGUAGGUGGUUUGUUAAGUCUGUUGUGAAAGCCCCGGGCUCAACCUGGGAAUGGCAAUGGAUACUGGCAAGCUAGAGUGCGGUAGAGGGUAGUGGAAUUCCCGGUGUAGCGGUGAAAUGCGUAGAGAUCGGGAGGAACACCAGUGGCGAAGGCGGCUACCUGGACCAGCACUGACACUGAGGCACGAAAGCGUGGGGAGCAAACAGG
rnacentral:rRNA from 1 species